rnacentral:rRNA from 1 species
AUUGAACGCUGGCGGCAGGCUUAACACAUGCAAGUCGAGCGGAGAUGAGGUGCUUGCACCUUAUCUUAGCGGCGGACGGGUGAGUAAUGCUUAGGAAUCUGCCUAUUAGUGGGGGACGACAUUCCGAAAGGAAUGCUAAUACCGCAUACGCCCUACGGGGGAAAGCAGGGGAUCUUCGGACCUUCCGCUAAUAGAUGAGCCCAAGCCGGAUUAGCUAGUUGGCGGGGUAAAGGCCUACCAAGGCGACGAUCUGUAGCGGGUCUGAGAGGAUGAUCCGCCACACUGGGACUGAGACACGGCCCAGACUCCUACGGGAGGCAGCAGUGGGGAAUAUUGGACAAUGGGCGGAAGCCUGAUCCAGCCAUGCCGCGUGUGUGAAGAAGGCCUUUUGGUUGUAAAGCACUUUAAGCGAGGAGGAGGCUACCUGGAUUAAUACUCUAGGAUAGUGGACGUUACUCGCAGAAUAAGCACCGGCUAAUUCUGUGCCAGCAGCCGCCGUAAAAC